rnacentral:rRNA from 1 species
CCUACGGGGGGCAGCAGUGGGGAAUAUUGGACAAUGGGGGGAACCCUGAUCCAGCCAUGCCGCGUGUGUGAAGAAGGCCCUCGGGUUGUAAAGCACUUUCAGUGAGGAAGAACGCCUGGUGGUUAAUACCCAUCAGGAAAGACAUCACUCACAGAAGAAGCACCGGCUAACUCCGUGCCAGCAGCCGCGGUAAUACGGAGGGUGCGAGCGUUAAUCGGAAUUACUGGGCGUAAAGCGCGCGUAGGUGGCUUGAUAAGCCGGUUGUGAAAGCCCCGGGCUCAACCUGGGAACGGCAUCCGGAACUGUCAAGCUAGAGUGCAGGAGAGGAAGGUAGAAUUCCGGUGUAGCGGUGAAAUGCGUAGAGAUCGGGAGGAAUACCAGUGGCGAAGGCGGCCUUCUGGACUGACACUGACACUGAGGUGCGAAAGCGUGGGUAGCAAACAGGAUUAGAUACCCCAGUAGUC